AGAGUUUGAUCCUGGCUCAGCGCGAACGUUGGCGGCGUGCCUAACACAUGCAAGUCGUGGGGCAGCAGGCCUUACCUUCGGGUAAGGUGCUGGCGACCGGCAAACGGGUGAGUAACACGUAGCUUACCUACCCAUAGGUUGGGGAUAACUGCCCGAAAGGGCAGCUAAUACCCAAUAAUGAGGAAACUCCAAAGCCGCAAGGCGCCUAUGGAUGGGGCUGCGUCCCAUCAGCUUGUUGGUGAGGUAAUGGCUCACCAAGGCUACGACGGGUAGCCGGUCUGAGAGGAUGACCGGCCACAGUGGGACUGAGACACGGCCCGCACCCCUACGGGGGGCAGCAGUGGGGAAUAUUGGGCAAUGGCCGAAAGGCUGACCCAGCAACGCCGCGUGGUGGAUGAAGCCCUUCGGGGUGUAAACACCUUUUCUGGGGGAAGAUAAUGACGGUACCCCAGGAAUAAGGGACGGCUAACUACGUGCCAGCAGCCGCGGUAAUACGUAGGUCCCGAACGUUGCGCGAAAUUACUGGGCGUAAAGGGUCCGUAGGCGGUCUGGUAAGUGGAAGGUGAAAGCCCACGGCUUAACCGUGGAAUUGCCUUCCAAACUGCCGGACUUGAGGAUGGAAGAGGUCGGCGGAAUUCCCGGUUGUAGCGGUUGAAAUGCGUAGAUAUCGGGAGGAACACCAGUAGCGAAGGCGGCGACUGGGACAUUCCUGACG
rnacentral:rRNA from 1 species